GCUUUAUAUACUAGUAUAUUUUUGUAAUUGAACGCACUCGUAAUACGUAGGUCGUGGGUUCGAUUCCCGCUUUCAGCA
rnacentral:tRNA from 1 species